rnacentral:misc_RNA from 1 species
GAUGAAGAACGUAGUGAAAUGCGAUACGUAAUGUGAAUUGCAGAAUUCAGUGAAUCAUCGAAUCUUUGAACGCACAUUGCGCCCUCUGGUAUUCCGGGGGGCAUGCCUGUUCGAGCGUCAUUAUAACCACUCAAGCUCUCGCUUGGUAUUGGGGUUCGCGGUUUCGCGGCCCCUAAAAUCAGUGGCGGUGCCUGUCGGCUCUACGCGUAGUAAUACUCCUCGCGAUUGAGUCCGGUAGGUCUACUUGCCAGCAACCCCUAAUUUUUUUUAAGGUUGACCUCGGAUCAGGUAGGGAUACCCGCUGAACUUAAGCAUAUCAAUAAGCGGAGGA